ACAUAUGAGGUCGAGUGUGUAGACUAGGGCCUGGGCUAAAGUUUGAGAGCAUGGUAAGGUGAGCAACCUAGUGUCAAGAAUGAGGAUGGUUUGUUUGAAAGAUAGCUCUAGAUUAGCCAGGAGAUAGGCUAGGUGCAUUGGCAUAAAAGAGUUUGGAGAAGCUUAGAGGCUAGCCUAGUAUGUAAGUACUAAAGGUUCUAGAAUGGCUUGGAACAGGAACAGUAGUAGGUAUUGUAGUGCCCGGAUAAGGAAGGCUCAGGAAGGCCCUAGUUAUGGGUAGAGUAGUGACUAGAUGGAAAAGGUUCUGGAACUUAUUAGGCAUGGCCACUUAGCAAGAGUGCCUAGACUCUUCUAGACUUGAGGCUCAGUGGGGAGCCAAGAACAAGCUGGAUUGUACAAAGGCCUUAGCUAAACUAGGACGCAUCUAGGGGCCAUGGAAGGGUCUAAAAGGCUUACAAAAGCCACACAUUUAGAUAAAUAAAGGCCAUAUGUGUUAGGAAGGCUCAGGUAUAAAUAGAGGCUUUCCCCCUCAUUUACAAUUCAUAGGAGAAGCAACAAGAGAAAAGUAAGAGGAACCAAGUCAUAGACUUUGUCAUAUUAGACACUUGGGGAUAGACAUAAGAGUCAAUGUAAAAGCAAUUGUACAUAGCAUCAAGUAAAUAGAAAUACAAUUGCUUUAACUCUCUUUCCUAGCUUUCGUCCAAGCUCUUAAAAAGCCAAUGGAGUCCAUAGCACAAGCAUUUAACAUAAAGUUAGAAAAGAGGCUAUCUUAGGCACAUGCAUAGUAGUUUCUAACCUAAGGCGACAUGGGUGCUAGGCUUAAGCCCCUAGCCUAUGACACCUACUGUUGAUGCUACCCUAGACCCCUGACCUUUGACUAAGUCCUUGAAUCGACCAAUGGCUCCUUAGGGUGGUGGAAGUAGAAGCUACGAUCAUAGGCUUGGUCUAGCCAAGUCUUUUAGGUAUUUGGUAGUCUCAUGGCCCUUUCUCGUUGGCCACAAAAAUGCCUUUGCCUAGCUAAGCUCAUGCAUGUGUCAUGGGUUAGGGCUUAAGCCUAAGAGUGGAAAAGUCCCAUGUGAAUAGCACUUGUAUAUGGGUUGGUCAAUCCUAAGAGAUGAGGGAAGCCCAUCCGAUAAUGCAUUCAACAUGAGCUUCGAAAGGAAAUUAGGUUAAAAUUCCUAAACUAGGGCAUGAUAGUUGAUGGCAAUGUUAGGCAGUCUGAAAACAUCAGUAGGAGCCUUAGGAAGAGUUAUCCUUUUUGUUUAACAACCUGCCCACCCUAGAAAUGGCUCAAUCAGAGGUAAGGUCUAGUGGCUAGAAAAAGCAUUUCAUGUUGCAUGGUGUUUAGUGCACCCCUAACAAGCUUUGAAAAUAUAGGAUUGAGUGCUAUCUGCACUCAAUGGUACUCAUAACUACAUCAGGUCUCUAAAGUGAAUAGCUUCUUGUCAAUGGAAUAGUGUUGGCAAGGGAAGUUAGUAAAAUGGAUUUGUAACCUCGACAAAAGGAUUAGCUCUGAGGGCUAGGCAUGGAGGUCCUAAUCCUAAACCCAUUCAGUGUUGGUGCACUGUUUGAACUGCUCCCAUGGUGCGAGUGGGUCACUGCGUGCCAGUCGGGAGAUGGUUGGGAAUGGCACCCUCAGGGGCUUGUUGUAAGCGAUAAAUAGUUAACUUAAAACUAGUACAGAUAAGGGGAAUUUGAUUGUUUAAUUAAAACAAAGCAUUGCAAUGGUCCUUAUGGAUGCUCACGCAAUGUGAUUUCUACCCAGGCUCUAAAUGUCAAAGUGAAGAAAUUCAAUCAUGCACAGGUAAAUGGCAGGAGUAACUAUGACUCUCUGAAGGUAGCCAAGUGCCUCGUCAACUAAUUAGUGAUGCACAUGAAUGGAUUAAUGAGAUUCCCACUACCUAUGUUUACUAUCUAGGGAAAACAUAACCAAUGGAAUGGGCUGGGUGGAAUCAACAGGGAAAGAAGACCUUGUUGUCUUUACUCUAGUCCAACUUUGUGAAAUGACUUGAGAGGUGUAGGACAAGUGGGAGCCCUCGAGCAAAAUUGAAAUACCACUACUUUUAACAUUAUUUAACCUAUUCGAUGAAUCAGAGGCAAGGUAUGACCCCUUUUUUUAAACCCAAGGUUAGCCUUGCUCGAUUGAUCAAGGUAGAAGACAAUGUUAGGUGGGUAGAUUGGCUGGGGUAGCACAUCUAUUGAAAGAUAAUGCAAGUGUCCUAGAAUGAACUUAAUGAGAAUAGAAAUCUCAUGUGGAACAAAAGGCAAAAGCUUGUUUGAUUCUAAUUUCCAGUACGAAUAUGAACUAUGAAAGCAUGGCCUAUCAAUCAUUUGAAAUUUGAAGCUAGAGGUGUCAGAAAAGUUAACACAAGGAUAACUAGCUUGUGGUAGCCAAGUGUUCAUAGCGACAUUUCUUUUUAAUCAUUCGAUAUCUGCUUUUCCUAUCAUUGUGAAGCAUAAUUCACCAAAUGUUGGAUUGUUCACGUAGCAAUAGGGAACAUAAGUUGGGUUUAGACUAUCAUGAGACAGGUUAGUUUUACUUUACUGAUGGCAGUGUCACAAUAGUAAUUCAACCUAGUAUGAAAUGAACCAUUGAUUCACACAAUUGGUCAUCGCACUCAGUUGAAAAGCUAGUGGCAUGAAGCUACCAAGCUUUGGAUUAUGACUAAAUGCGUCUAAGUAAGAAUCUAGGCUAGAAGCAAUGCACAUGCCCAUCACUCAAUUGCCAACAUAUAGUAGAGGCCCAUAGACCAUAAGAGCAAAUUUCGUAGGUGUAACCCUCAUGGCAAACAGGCCAUGCAGGCCUCUUGGAGCUCAAUUCCCAUCGAGCAAAAGGUAGAAUCCUUUGCAAAUGGCUUAAAUACGUAAUAGGGUAUUGUAAGGGGUAGAGUGGCCUUGCUACCACAAUCCACUAAGAUUCAAC
rnacentral:rRNA from 1 species